UUGCCUCUCGUCCACGAAUCUUAAUUUGUCUUCAUUGCAUUCCUAUAACUAUUCGCAUUGAGCCAUAGAAUAAAUAACGUGACGCUUUUUAAUCGAAUAUUUUUUAUAAAAGUUUUUUUUUUGUUUCUUUGAUCAGAGUAAUUGACACACAGUGCGUUGUAAUUUUAUACGAAUAACUCGAAUGAAAAAGUUUUAAAAGAACUUAAAAAAAAGAAAACACGAUAACGCAGUCAUUAUGCGCAUUUGAGAAGAAGAGAGUAAUUCAAGAGUUUUUCUUAUAGGCACCUUCCUCUCUCUCUCUCUCUCUCUCUCUCUCACUUGCCUUGUUUAUUAAAAGAAAAACGAUAUUGUGCUGCUUUCAUAUGAAUAGUGGAUAAGAGUGAAAAGGUAAACAGAUGUGAAAAUAUAAUGAGCGUUAGAUUCGCUUACAAAUGCGAGGGGUUGCUACUCCAUGCUCAGAUAACUGUUUGCUGGUCAUUAGUGAUGCGGAAAUAUUUUUUGGACGGAUUACGGUUAAAGACAACCUUAUUAAACCAGCAGUGUGUGAAGGCAACGAGGGGGAUGGAGAUGGUGACAUGCCGGCAAAGUUCAAAGUUAUUGCUGAAAUUAUGCCGACAUCUCGAAUUUUUGUUCGAACCUUGAAUAUGGAUAAAUUGUUUAUCGCUGGUAUUCAAUAAUUUGUCCUCUACAGUUCAUCUUUUCACCUCAAAAUUCACUCACAAAAUAAACGGAUGAACAUACAUAUAUAUAUAUAUAUAUAUAUAGAUUGUUAAAUAACCUCAACAUUGCCGAUCAAGUGCAAAUCUUGCAUCUUUUUCCUCAUUGAUGAUAUCAAAAGAAGCUCCUCAGACUUCUCUGUCGCGGACGUUAUCUGUCCAGCCGCCUUGAAAACAUUUGGCGGACGUAAUAAAGAGUUGAAGCGAAAGCAGAACUCCACUGAGCGAGAAUUUCCAAACAUCUCCCAAUAGAGAUAACGAAGCAUACGAGUUAUUAAGAAAUAAAGCAUCGCCGACGAGGCAGAAGAUGUGAUGUACAACCCCGUUCAUAUAAAUACUAUAUGCAAAGAAAGAGACACAUGUUCCAUCCAAGUCGUCACAUGCAUAUGCGCAGCAAGGCAAAGUGUAAAGUAGCGUAAAGGUGUUAAGCAUCCUCUGGCGCUUGAUGUUAUAAACUAAAGUGUGGCAAAGCGUUUAAUUUGUUAUUUACGAGCAAUUAAUGUUGUUUUAAAAACUCUCUCAACAAAAUCCAGUCGGGUCAAGAAAUCUUGAACAACAACAACAGCGGCGAAUACAUUCUCAAUUUGGGUGUCAGCUGUAUUUACAGCCUAUUUUAUUAAACAUUUUUAUUUUUUUAGAAAAAA